GUUCCUCAGAGUGUGUGUCCUCUAAAGUUGCGUAAGCUGAUGUUUUGCACUUCAAGAAUAUACUAUCAUCUAUUAUUAAGCCACUACUUAGUUUGUCCGGGAGCACUGGCUACUAAACACUAACCAGCUGAAGGAAAACAAUUGGCAAAGUGAAAAAUGAUUUGAAACCCAAACUGUUACAAAUUAUUAUUAAUGAGGAGUUUCAGAAGAUACAUGGAAGAGUUUCACCUAUUGAAGAUUAUGUACAGACUUCAAAAUGAAUGUUUCAGAGAUUACUGAGCGUUGUAAAUGUAGUAAAAAUGUAAGAAAAGUCAAGAACGAUUUUGACGUCUUCAAGUCCAUUUUCAAUCCGCGAAGAUUUCUCACUCAACCUUGGAUCACCAACCAAAAUAACGAAGAAGGAUUUCCGAUUUAAGAUUCAGUAAGUACAAGCCGACUAGAGGGUUCCAUUUUCGUCUCAACUUGACGAAACAACAGAGAUUUAAAUGCCAUCGUUAUCAUAAAAUUUAAGGACAGGAAAGCUCAUGGAGAACAUAUCUAGGGUUAAUCCACAGGUACACCCAAAAGAACAAGUAUUCGGGAACAAAUCUGGUGACCUUGGUGGCCAAGCAGUUGGCCCAAAUCUUCCUAUCACCGGUCUGUAAAAAUUUCGUCUAAAUAAUGUGUUAUUAUUGCAGUUGAAUGUGGGGGAGCUCCAUCCAUUUGUCGCUGUUAUAUACAAAAGCAGUAGCAAUGGUCAAUCGCAAGAAAAAAUGAAAUGUUGGACAUUCUGUACUCCUUCUAUUUGAAGCCCGGAAUAAAUGGGCCAACCAGGGGAAAAAUUAUUUAGACAAUAUCUGUAUUUCAGUGGAUAUCGAGGACAAUCAAAGUUUUGUAAUAUGGACGAGAUGGACUGAUCAUGCAGCCCAGUUAGUGCAGUUAAAAGCAGCAACACAAGAGGAUAGUAAGAACAGGAGCACACUUUCACGGUUGUUUCCCUUAGCUUCUAAAUUAAAUGUUGGACAUUCUGCACUCCUUCUAUUUGAAGCCCGUAAUAAAUGGACCAACCAGGGGUAAAAUUGUUUAGACUAUUCCAUUCAUCUGUCAAUUGGUUAAAAAGAGCCAAUAAAAAUUGUACUUUGUGUGGGCGUUACUAUGGUUAUAAUGUGUUGUAUCGGAUAUAUCUUCCCAGGAAGGUAUUCAACUGACAAUUUUUAACAAAAGAAAGUCGACGACAAAUUAAUGUAUUUAUUUGUCAGUAACAUUAAAUGUACAAUUUGAAAAGGUUA